AUACCUGUAAUCAUACAAUACUACAAAAAGCAGUAUAGAGCAGCUAGGAAAAUAAAUCAUAUAUAUAAAUUAUGGUUCAAUACAUACAUGCAAUCCAGGUACAUCAAUACUCGCUCUGGCGAGAUAACAACAACUGUAUGUAAAGAUCCAAAAACUACAACUAUCUGUAACUGAUGCUCCUCUAGUUCUGCGACUUGACUGGAAGGGCUCUGGCUCGCGACGCCCUUGCCACGAUCAAGAUCAGCAACAGCAACAGCAACAGCCGAAGACGACGGCUCUACAAAACAGUGGUAACAACUGGACGUGAGAACUAUUACGAAAAGAAGUAGUCCUCAGUGGGUACCGCCCUCAAACUCAUCGAUCCACCCAUUAAGUCUACAGGGAUAAGCAGGAAUAGUAAAGAAAGCUGAAACAAAUCUACAACUAUAUGCCACUAUACUAUCAUACUCUAAAUCUAACCAUCUGUAGAACAGUGUCAACUCAAACCCAAUCUCAAAUAGGAACUAUAAUCAUACUCGUUUCUGGGACUGUGAACACACCCGUCCCGCACGGUUGCGACUAUAUAGUUACCUCCACACUAAUCAGUCCGUGGAGAGCAAGUCCAACCUGCACGAACGACACCAACAUAAAAGUAUAGCGCCCGUCUUCGGAGUGGCACUCGUGGGAGCUAUCCAACCGAGUAUGCAGCGUAUCUCUGUCGAGCUCAAUUAGGCUCUAACAAAUCAAAGUCAAGAAGGUAGGGUUAAAACAGGUCUAGAAACCAAACCCACGUGCCCUUGGCACAAUCUGAGACCAAAAAUAAAUAUCUGGGUCCCCCGUCCCCUCGACGGCACCCGACAACCUAAAACAGCAUAGGCUCCGCUGUAAAAAUAAACUCGGCAUCUCAGUACAAGCGUAAAUGCAUUCUAAACUACCCCGGAUAUCUACCGCGCUGAAACAGCAGUGAUACAAUCAAACUACGGCUCCUAAAGUUAAAAUCAGAUAGUGGAAUCAUAUGACAGGUCGAAUCGCUGGUUUUCUCCUAAGUCAAGUUCCAAGUCCAGCUUGUAUAUUCAUCUAAUUAAAUAGUCAUGCUCCCAAUUCAGAUUUCAUACAAGCUACAAUCAAUGAAUUUGAGCUACAACAUGAUAUACAAGAAUCGAAAUCAUACAUGUCGACUACA
rnacentral:lncRNA from 1 species